ACGGCUCAGUAACACGUAGUCAAUCUACCCUAUGGACGGGGAUAACCUCGGGAAACUGAGAAUAAUACCCGAUAGAACAUUAUGCCUGGAAUGGUUUAUGUUCCAAAUGAUUUAUCGCCGUAGGAUGGGACUGCGGCCUAUCAGUUUGUUGGUGAGGUAAUGGCCCACCAAGACUAUUACAGGUACGGGCUCUGAGAGGAGUGGCCCGGAGAUGGGUACUGAGACACGGACCCAGGCCCUAUGGGGCGCAGCAGGCGAGAAAACUUUGCAAUGUGCGAAAGCACGACAAGGUUAAUCCGAGUGGUUUCUGCUAAAGGAACCUUUUGUCGGUCCUAGAAACACCGAUGAAUAAGGGGUGGGCAAGUUCUGGUGUCAGCCGCCGCGGUAAAACCAGCACCUCAAGUGGUCAGGAUGAUUAUUGGGCCUAAAGCAUCCGUAGCCGGCUCUGUUAGUUUUCGGUUAAAUCUGUACGCUCAACGUACAGGCUGCCGGGAAUACUGCAGAGCUAGGGAGUGGGAGAGGUAGACGGUACUCGGUAGGAAGGGGUAAAAUCCUUUGAUCUAUUGAUGACCACCUGUGGCGAAGGCGGUCUACCAGAACACGUCCGACGGUGAGGGAUGAAAGCUGGGGGAGCAAACCGGAUUAGAUACCCGGGUAGUCCCAGCUGUAAACUAUGCAAACUCAGUGAUGCAUUGGCUUGUGGCCAAUGCAGUGCUGCAGGGAAGCCGUUAAGUUUGCCGCCUGGGAAGUACGUACGCAAGUAUGAAACUUAAAGGAAUUGGCGGGGGAGCACCACAAGGGGUGAAGCCUGCGGUUCAAUUGGAGUCAACGCCGGG
rnacentral:rRNA from 1 species